rnacentral:rRNA from 1 species
UACGAAGGGGGCUAGCGUGGCUCGGAAUCACUGGGCGUAAAGCGCACGUAGGCGGCUUCUUAAGUCAGGGGUGAAAUCCUGGAGCUCAACUCCAGAACUGCCUUUGAUACUGAGGAGCUUGAGUCCGGGAGAGGUGAGUGGAACUGCGAGUGUAGAGGUGAAAUUCGUAGAUAUUCGCAAGAACACCAGUGGCGAAGGCGGCUCACUGGCCCGGUACUGACGCUGAGGUGCGAAAGCGUGGGGAGCGAACAGG